UACGUAGGGUGCAAGCGUUGUCCGGAAUUAUUGGGCGUAAAGAGCUCGUAGGCGGCUUGUUGCGUCAGCUGUGAAAACCCGCAGCUCAACUGUGGGCUUGCAGCUGAUACGGGCAGGCUUGGAGUUCGGUAGGGGAGACUGGAAUUCCUGGUGUAGCGGUGAAAUGCGCAGAUAUCAGGAGGAACACCAAUGCGAAGGCAGCUCGCUGGGACGUUACUGACGCUGAGACGCGAAAGCGUGGGGAGCAAACAGG
rnacentral:rRNA from 1 species